rnacentral:rRNA from 1 species
GAUGAACGCUAGCUACAUGCUUAACACAUGCAAGUCGAGCGACCGGCGCACGGGUGAUUAACACGUAUCCAACCUGCCGUUUACUCGGGGAUAGCCUUUCGAAAGAAAGAUUAAUACCCGAUGUACAGGAUGGGGAUGCGUUCCAUUAGGUUGUUGGUGAGGUAACGGCUAACCAAGCCUUCGAUGGAUAGGGGUUCUGAGAGGAAGGUCCCCCACAUUGGAAAGGAGACACGGUCCAAACUCCUACGGGAGGCAGCAGUGAGGAAUAUUGGUCAAUGGGCGUUAGCCUGAACCAGCCAAGUAGCGUGAAGGAUGAAGGCUUAUGGGUCGUAAACUUCUGUUAUAGAAGAAUAUGUAUUAUAUGAAUAAGGAUCGGCUAACUCCGUGCCAGCAGCCGCGGUAAUUC